GCACUGCUGAAGAGUCCCAUAAUAGGACGAAACGACCUUCCAGUGC
rnacentral:hammerhead_ribozyme from 1 species